AUUGAACGCUGGCGGCAUGCCUAACACAUGCAAGUCGAGCGAGCGGCGGACGGGUGAGUAAUGUCUGGGAAACUGCCUGAUGGAGGGGGAUAACUACUGGAAACGGUAGCUAAUACCGCAUACCAUCAGCUGUGCCCAGAUGGCAUUAGCUGGUAGGUGGGGUAAUGGCUCACCUAGGCGACGAUACCUCGCUGGUAUGAGAGGAUGACCAGCCACACUGGAACUGAGACACGGCCCAGACUCCUACGGGAGGCAGCAGUGGGGAAUAUUGGACAAGGGGCGAAAGCCGGAGACAGCCAUGCCGCGUGUGUGAAGAAGGCCUUCGGGUUGUAAAGCACUUUCAGCGGGGAGGCGGUACCCGCAGAAGAAGCACCGGCUAACUCCGUGCCAGCAGCCGCGGUAAUAC
rnacentral:rRNA from 1 species